GUGUGAAGAGGAUCAUUCACAAUUUUUACAGCAGAAAGAGGAAAUGAGUAAGCCCUGUACAACAUAACAACACCUGAUGGAGUGGCAUCGAAUACAAUGACAAGUUGUUGUGAGUCGCAGGAGCCUCAAAAUGGAUGGUGUCAUAACUGGGACUAUGGAGCGGUUUGUUUUCCCAGGCAGCAAAGCGACUGGACUGGACAAAGGGUGAAGCUGAAAUGGACCAUAAGGAAUGGCCUGAUCCUCAUGAAUUCAUCAUUUACUAAGAGGACAACUUUCUGACUGUUGGACGUUGCGGACAAAAGCCUGACUUUUAACGAACAAUUAGGUUUCAGGUUAGAAAAGCUUCUUCUGUUUGCAUGGAGAUGGCCUAUAAAGUGUUACGCCUGUUCGGCAUUGUGGUGCCGGGUUCGAUUCCCUCGAGGAUGCGUCAAAACGAAGAACACAACAAAGCUAAAAGAGAGAAGCGUAUCCUUGUAUAACCGCCUCCUACACUGGCAUCAAACUGACCAAAAAAAAUGGUGGAACAUGAAGAUGGUCUGUUGGAGAUCCUCCAGGCAUCCCGGCUCCACCGAGGGAUGAGGAUCAAUGGAAGGCCAUCACUGCGUCAGCGCCCUCCGGAGACCACGCGUCAGGAACUCGCACGUCGGCAGAGGGUGUGACCCCAGGAUGCAGGGACCGAAGGCGGCGUGCAGAAUUGCGUGCGCUCGCUUCCGUGCAUCAAUCUCCUUGCUCGCCACCAAGGCCCCGCCCCUCCUCCUCACUGCCUUACAUCACAUGGCCUCUGCAGAGAAGUACACGAGGCAAACCUUCCGGAGUUGACCGCGAGUUCAGACGUGAACAAUGCACACACUUUUCAGCUUUUUUGGAGAGAAUCCACACUUGAACGGACAAAGUUGACCCGUUCCAGCCAACACGUGAAUCCAAGGUCACGAUCCAAUAAUACCCCAUCAACUGGAAUCCGGAUCUGAUCCAGAUUGCAUGGUUAGGAAUAUUACGGUCACACGGAAUUAAAAAAAAGUCAUGACAAUGUGAGGAUUAGUGUUGUCCGGACACCAAUAUUUUGGUACCAGUAAUGUAUUUCCAUACUUUUGGGGACAACAAAAAAAAUUGCAUUAUUGUCUUUAUUUUAACAAUAAAUCCCAAAAGUACAUUUGUUGCGAUCCGCUGCUCGGAUCGUUCUAUGUUGUAGUUUUGAUUCUUUUCUGUAUCACAUUUUGGUAGUUUGACUCCUUAGUUCCUGUUUUUAGUCUGUUUCCAUAGCUACGUAUUAUUUUCACCUGCCGUGGUUUCAAGACGCACACCUGUUCUGUUAAUCACCAUCCUCACUAAGCCAGCCUUUUCUGUUCAGUCUUUCUGGGAUCCUAGGUUGCUUUCAUGCAACAGUGACGACUCGUAUGUAUUUUCUCGUUAGCUUUCAUGCCACGCCUUUGUUUUUAUUCUAGCUCUCACGCUAGUGAUUUGUUUUCCCUGUUGUGUACCUUCGUGUCAAGUUGUUAGUUUUUCUGUUCAUUUUUCUAGCUCCCACGCUAGCUCCCUUUGUUUGCCUUUUCUGCUUAGCUCCAGUAUUUUUGUUCUU